rnacentral:rRNA from 1 species
ACUCAAAUGAAUAGACGGGGGCCCGCACAAGCGGUGGAGCAUGUGGAUUAAUUCGUCACUAACCGAAGAACCUUACCCAGGUUUGACAUCCUAGGAACCUCGAUGAAAGUUGAGGGUGCUCGCAAGAGAGCCUAGAGACAGGUGUUGCAUGGCUGUCGUCAGCUCGUGUCGUGAGAUGUUGGGUUAAGUCCCGCAACGAGCGCAACCCUCACCGUAUGUUGCCAGCGUCAAGUCGGGAACUCUUACGGAACUGCCCGUGUAAGCGGGAGGAAGGUGGGGAUGACGUCAAGUCAGCAUGGCCCUUACGCCUGGGGCUUCACACAUGCUACAAUGGGUGGCAACAAAGGGCUGCUAAAUCGUGAGAUCAAGCAAAUCCCAAAAAUCCAUCCUCAGUUCGGAUUGUAGGCUGCAACUCGCCUACAUGAAGCCGGAAUCGCUAGUAACCGCAGGUCAGCUAAACUGCGGUGAAUACGUUCCCGGGCCUUGUACACACCGCCCGU